rnacentral:tRNA from 1 species
GCUGCGAUAGCUUAAGAAGAGAGCAUGACACUGAAGCUGUUAGGGUAGUUUAAUUAACUUUGCAGCA